ACUAUGAUUUUUGCCCCUUUUGACCAAGUUAAUUUUUUGGAUCGUCUUAAGAUCGAAACUAACCUACGUCCCGGAAUAUUUCAUUCAACAUUUUAUGAAAAAACGUUCAAUGCUGUAAUAAUAGUCGAACAAAAUUUGGAAUAGGAUGUUCCAAAUGUUAGAGAAGGGUGUGGCCGAACGGUAUUUUUCGUAAAGGAGACAACCUUGCGGUUAAUAUUUAUAAUUGCCCUUU